CCCGGGAGCGUCGGGAGGGCCGCGGCCCCGGGAGCCGCAAGGAGGCCGGCGGCCGGAGCCCGCCCCAGCCCCCACCCCGCGGGUAACCUUGGAGCCGCCCUGGGGCAUUUAACCUGAAAAUACACUUCCAAGAUAGGAGAAAGACAUGCACAAAUAUUUCAUUAUGUCUUUGGCUGUUGGGAGUCCUUUCAGAUGGCUAUGUCAGCCCUUCAACAUACUCUCAUCACUUGGGAAUCAGUGGGGAUGCCUGCGUGGCUCAGUGGUUUAGCGCCUGCCUUCAU